ensembl:snoRNA
AUCCUUUUGAAGUUCAUCAUCAUCCUGAUGGGUUUUCACGCACCUGUGUGAGAUGUGCCUCCCACACACCUUGUUAUGUCAACACGUUACCCGCCUGGCA